UGUGUAAAGUGGCCGAACCAAAAAUCCAGGAAAGAGCAAUUGGGCAAAGCUUUACACUGCUCUUGAAAUUACUGUAAAGUAGAUCAGGUUUUAUGUGAAGCAUGAGGGGAAUUCUAAACUGAUCAGAUGGUAUUUUAAUGGAGAGUGCUUGAGUCAGUUUAGAGUCACAGAUCUAUCGCUAUGUUCACUUUUUUAUUAAUUAUUGUAGGCUAAUUGUGUAUUUGCUGUAGUUAAUCUUGAGACUGAUACAAUAUGAGCAUUACUGAAAUCAGUUAGUACAGUAAUCUUCAUGUGGAGGAUAUGAAAUAAUGUGAGGUGGUGAUAAACUCAGUUUUUAUUAAUAUCUGCCACUGUGCCACUGCAACCCAAGGAACAGUAAAAGAUGUAUCAUAUGAAUUAUUGGCAAACAUUCUCAUGCUGAUGUACUUUACACUUGAUCUUUUUUCCUAAGAGUUCAACCUUGUGUUUUGAGAGAACAGUUGACAUUUCAACUGAUAAAGAUAAAUGAUAUAACAUUAAACUCAAGGUGGUUGAGUUGCAGUAGGGAGUCGGAAGCAAGCCAAGGGAACAUCUUUCUCUACAGGGGACUUGGCGAUUCCAAAACCCCCAAGGUUCCAAGAAGAAACUGAAGACACCUGGAAUCUGUACUUGCUUUGUGCUGUUGAGCUGUGCUUGUUAUAUGGACCUUGUUGCUUGACCAACAAACAACAUUAGAAUUAAAAAGCCCACUUUUAACUUUGAGCCACUCUUUGACCUCUUAACCCUUUGUGGACAUUACCUAAAUACUUUGAGGAGAAUCAGUAAAGGCAGCUAUUUAGCAUAUGCUCCCUCGGUGCAGGCAUAGUCUAGUGUUUCGAAGAAAGUAAGAAAAUG